CAGCAGCCGCGGUAAUACGAGGGGGGCAAGCGUUGUUCGGAAUUACUGGGCGUAAAGCGUGUGUAGGCGGCUUCGCAAGUCGGAUGUGAAAGCCCCGGGCUCAACCCGGGAAGUGCACUCGAUACUGCGGAGCUAGAGUGUCGGAGAGGUUGGUGGAAUCCUCGGUGUAGAGGUGAAAUUCGUAGAUAUCGAGAGGAACACCGGUGGCGAAGGCGGCCAACUGGACGAACACUGACGCUGAGACACGAAAGCGUGGGGAGCAAACAGGAUUAGAGACCCCGGUAGUCCCUGUCUCUUAUAA
rnacentral:rRNA from 1 species